GUGCUCACUUAGGCAGCACAUAUACUAAAACUGGAUUGAUACAGAAAAGAUUAGCAUGGCCCCUGAGCAAGGAUGACACACAGAUUUGUGAAUUACUCCAUAUUCUU
rfam:Tupaia chinensis contig36009, whole genome shotgun sequence.